AGGGUUCAGUCUCCUGUACCUCUCUAUGAAGCCGGGGUCGAUCAAGGAGGGAGCGGGGUCCCGAGGUAAAGGAACUGGGGCCGGCUGAGGGUGAACUGGGGGACCCUGUGGUGGCGCCUGCUGAUGGGGUGGGGGCACUGGAAUAUGCUGUGGCGGUACCUGUUGGUACUGUGGCUGUGGUACCGGGUCGUACCGCGGCUGUGGUGCCGGGUGGUACUGUGGAGGAACAGGCUCCUGCCGGGGUGGCUCGGGAUCAGCCUGCUGUAACGGGGGCUCAACCUGCGCUAGCGGAGGAGGU
rnacentral:lncRNA from 1 species